rnacentral:rRNA from 1 species
UACGUAGGUGGCAAGCGUUGUCCGGAUUUACUGGGCGUAAAGGGCGUGCAGGCGGUCUGUUAAGUUCAGGGUGAAAGCUCCCGGCUCAACUGGGAGAGGUCCUUGGAUACUGGCAGACUCGAGGGAGGUAGAGGAGAGUGGAAUUCCCGGUGUAGUGGUGAUAUGCGUAGAUAUGCGGAGGAACACCGAUGGCGAAGGCAAUCCCCUGGGCCUGCACUGACGCUCAUGCACGAAAGCGUGGGGAGCAAACAGG